UACGUAGGGUCCGAGCGUUGUCCGGAAUUAUUGGGCGUAAAGAGCUCGUAGGCGGUUUGUUGCGUCGGCUGUGAAAUCCCGAGGCUCAACCUCGGGUCUGCAGUCGAUACGAGCAAACUAGAGUGUUGCAGGGGAGACUGGAAUUCCUGGUGUAGCGGUGAAAUGCGCAGAUAUCAGGAGGAACACCGGUGGCGAAGGCGGGUCUCUGGGCAACAACUGACGCUGGAGGAGCGAAAAGCGU
rnacentral:rRNA from 1 species